AGAGUUUGAUCCUGGCUCAGAACGAACGCUGGCGGCAGGCCUAACACAUGCAAGUCGAGCGCACCUUUAGAACUUCGGUUUUAUGGGCGAGCGGCGGACGGGUUAGUAACGCGUGGGAACGUGCCCUUCUCUACGGAAUAGCCAUUGGAAACGAUGAGUAAUACCGUAUACGCCCUUCGGGGGAAAGAUUUAUCGGAGAAGGAUCGGCCCGCGUAAGAUUAGAUAGUUGGUGGGGUAACGGCCUACCAAGUCUACGAUCUUUAGCUGGUUUUAGAGGAUGAUCAGCAACACUGGGACUGAGACACGGCCCAGACUCCUACGGGAGGCAGCAGUGGGGAAUCUUGGACAAUGGGCGCAAGCCUGAUCCAGCCAUGCCGCGUGUGUGAUGAAGGCCCUAGGGUCGUAAAGCACUUUCGCCAGAGAUGAUAAUGACAGUAUCUGGUAAAGAAGUCCCGGCUAACUCCGUGCCAGCAGCCGCGGUAAUACGGAGGGGACUAGCGUUGUUCGGAAUUACUGGGCGUAAAGCGUACGUAGGCGGAUCAAAAAGAAGGGGUGAAAUCCCAGGGCUCAACCCUGGAACUGCCUCCUAAACUCCCGGUCUUGAGUUCGAGAGAAGGGAGUGGAAUUCUCAGUGUAGAGGGGAAAUUCGAAAAUUAUUCGGAGGAACACCCGUGGGCGAAGGGGGCUCCAUGGCUCGAU
rnacentral:rRNA from 1 species